rnacentral:lncRNA from 1 species
AAUUUUUUAGUUUACAUGUUAGCCGCAUUAGCCGUUUUUAACGGUAUUGGCGCUGUUGUCGUGGUUAUCGCUUUUGGCGGGCUGCUUAUGUUUAUGUCGUUGUUGUGGUCGUUGUGGUUGCCGUGUUGGCCGUAUCUUCUGUCCACGAUCCAUGCUACUUUAUGAGCACUGUUCAUAGCCAAGUUACACUGACUGCAUGUAUGUACCUGGAGGAACUAUGGCCUGCGCAGCAGCCUGAGGCAUCAUGCUCCAGAACACGUCAUUGUGACUUUUGGAAGGUGGUUUCUACCUUGGACGCUUAUGACCAAACAGGACCUACUGAGGCAUGCCACUCAGUUCUAAUAUGAAAGGUGAAGGUGGUCACUGCUCCAUGAACUCUCGGUCACCUGUGAGUGCGAGCACCUGCAGUGACUGAGUUGCAUCGACCAUAGAGGGAAUUGCCACAAGUAAGCAUCGUCGGAUGGAGCACAGACUGCCAUAUGCACUGACCAUGCACGCCGAAUUUCGUUGUGGGCAUCUUGUCUACUGGCAUCUCGCAAAAGCUCUCUAGCAUCCUUGGAUGCCUUAAGCAGCAGCAAGUGAGUAUCAUAGCAGAGUAAAAUCCAGCGUGUGAACAUAAAGAAGCACAUCCAUGCACCGCACACCAUCAGACCUUGGUAUUUCAUCUUAUGGAAACUAGCAAGCAUUCACAAAGAGCUGCACCUGCAGUGAGUGUCUGUCAUUGCAACAUGAACUGAUACCUUAAUGUCAGCUGGUGUUUUUGCAAGACAUUUGUGAUUUGUCGUUGCAGAAAGGGUGCCAUAUAAAUUCAA